CACGGAGUUAGCCGAUCCUUAUUCCUACAGUACCGUCAAGACUCUACUCGUAGAGUUGUUUCUUCCUGUAUAAAAGCAGUUUACAAUCCAUAGGACCGUCUUCCUGCACGCGGCAUGGCUGGUUCAGGCUUGCGCCCAUUGACCAAUAUUCCUCA
rnacentral:rRNA from 1 species